rnacentral:misc_RNA from 1 species
AUUUGGAGAAGCAUUUGGGAAAGUCAAAGAAAAUUCAAAGCACAGCUUAGACGGUGUGGAGAAGUGGCGCACAGCUUUGAUGGAAGCAGGCAAUCUAUCUGGAUGGGUUUCCAGCGACUCCAGGCAUGAAUCCCAACUAUGUGAAGAAGUCGCUGACAGCAUUCUGGAGAAAUUGUUUUCCAGAUCGUAUGCUGAUUCUAUGGGCUUAGUUGGGAUUGAUUCACAUGUCGAUAAAAUUAUGUCAUUGUUAUGUAUUGAGCCAACAAACAUUCGGGUAAUAGGAAUUUGGGGAAUGGGUG